UUUAGGAAUACCAGGCAUAAACGAAAAGAGAGGCUGGAUCCAAACUGCAUCCUGAUCGGGCCUGAAGAGGUACCCAGCGAUAGCCUGAAGUCCGAUCCGAUCCCGUGGAUCUCAACUCUGACGAAGGGGUCCAGAUUCUUCCCCAUUUUUGGAAGUGGUAAAUUGGACCCACAUAUAACCUGUUGGCAGGCCCAUGAUCGUCUCUUUGACCCACCGAGCUGCGAUCCAACGUUCCAGAACUCUUGAGGGUUGUAAUUGGACGAGGAUGUCCUGGAGCCCGCUGGAUAAAUCCUGGUCAAGAAUCUCUGGUUGUGCAGAACAAAAUCUUUACCUGAAGAUGAAGCACGAGCCAUUCAAUAAGGACUUCUGACUGUCUUUGGAGUGACUGAAGCUGGUGAACUUGACAGACACAGUGUAUAUGACGAGGUCGGACAGACCGUCCGCUACCACCACCUUCUUCUUCUGCUCAUCGCGUUCAGAUGCACAGAAACAAGAGAGCAGUCACGUCUUUGCAAUAAGAUGGCAGACAUAUGAGUUUGUCUUCACGACGCCUUAGCUUUUUUAAUAUCAGCUACCACAGCCCUGACUCACUUUCUUUUUUAAGCUUGACUUUCUCAGGGACCAGAACCUUGAUAUGCUCGGUUGAUCCACCUCAUCCUCUUCUUCUUCCUCCUCUUCUUCCUCCUCCUCCUCCUCCUCCUCCCAGCCCUCAUCUGCACUGUCAUCUGCCUCUGUCCCUGAUGCUCCAUCUAUUCUAGCAUUGGGCUUUAGUUUUUUAUUCUUGAUCAGGAUCUUAUACUUUAGGUCCUGCGUGACCAUUUAUACACACACAUACACACAUACAAUGUAUGUGGGACAUUGUCACUUUACAAACACUCACACAGACACACACACAGACACAAACAUAUAUAAUAUAUAUAAAUAUAUAUGAGGGGUGUAUAAAAAAA